rnacentral:tRNA from 1 species
UCCCUGGUGGUCUAGUGGUUAGGGCGCUGCACUCUUACUACAGAGGGCUCGGGUUCAGUCCCUCGUCAGGGAA